rnacentral:rRNA from 1 species
GAUGAACGCUAGCUACAGGCCUAACACAUGCAAGUCGAGGGGCAUCGGGAGGGAAGCUUGCUUCCCUUGCCGGCGACCGGCGCACGGGUGAGUAACGCGUAUCGAACCUGCCCCAUACCCGGGGAUAGCCUUGCGAAAGUAAGAUUAAUACCCGAUGGCUUCCUUUUAUCUCCUGAUAGAGGGAAUAAAGAAUUUCGGUAUGGGAUGGCGAUGCGUCCGAUUAGCUAGUUGGCGGGGUAACGGCCCACCAAGGCGACGAUCGGUAGGGGUUCUGAGAGGAAGGUCCCCCCACAUUGGAACUGAGACACGGUCCAAACUCCUACGGGAGGCAGCAGUGAGGAAUAUUGGUCAAUGGGCGAAAGCCUGAACCAGUCAAGUAGCGUGCAGGAUGACGGGCCCUACGGGUUGUAAACUGCUUUAGGCGGGGGUAAAGGAGCGGACGUGUUCCGCUUUUGCAAGUACCGCCA